rnacentral:sRNA from 1 species
UGGCUGCAUCUGUCCGCACUUUCAGUGCAA